UUUUGUCAAAAAUUCAAAAAAACUUAAAAAUUGGUUAUUUUGUCAAAAAUUCAAAAAAACUUAAAAUAACCACAAGAACCACAUGACUUUCCUACUCUUUCACCAUUUCCCCCGCCACUUCCUCCGCCUAACUAUAAAUCCAUCUUCUUCUUCUUCACAACAACAAAUCAAUGGUUUUUUCAUCUUUAAAACCAAAAUCACAACCAGCCCAUUUCAUCUUUUUCAAUUUCAAUCACAUCCGUACAAAAAAUUACACAUUUUGACAUAAAAAUUGUUACUAAUGGAUGCGUACUGUUCGGACUGUAGAAAGAGCACAGAAGUUGUAUUUGAUCAUUCAGCUGGUGAUAUGGUUUGUUCGGAAUGUGGGUUAGUUUUGGAAUCUCAUUCGAUUGAUGAAACAUCUGAGUGGAGAACUUUUGCUAAUGAGUCGGGUGAUAAUGACCCGGUCCGAGUUGGUGGACCGAAUAAUCCAUUGCUUUCUGAUGGUGGGUUAUCUACAGUGAUCUCAAAACCUAAUGGAACUACUAGUGAUUUCUUGACAUCGUCUUUGGGUCGAUGGCAGAAUCGUGGGUCGAAUGCUGAUCGAUCUCUUAUUUUGGCUUUUAAAGCUAUCGGGGUUAUGUCUGAUAGGUUGGGCCUGGUUGCAACCAUAAAGGACCGAGCUAAUGAGAUAUACAAGAAGGUAGAAGAUCAAAAAUCUAGUAGAGGAAGGAACCAGGAUGCUAUAUUGGCUGCUUGCCUAUAUAUUGCUUGUCGACAAGAAGACAAGCCUCGAACUGUGAAGGAAAUUUGCUCUGUUGCGAAUGGAGCUACAAAGAAGGAAAUUGGCCGAGCAAAGGAAUACAUAGUGAAACAACUAGAGCUCGAGAUGGGUCAAUCAGUGGAAAUGGGAACUAUACAUGCUGGGGAUUUCAUGCGGCGCUUUUGUUCAAAUCUUGGGAUGACAAAUCAAGCAGUUAAAGCUGCUCAAGAAGCAGUCAAAAAAUCUGAAGAGUUUGACAUAAGUAGAGACAAAACCAUGGAUAUGGUAGUUAAAUAGGUAAAUACAUGACGAUGGCGGUGUUCGUUUUUGGUAUCAGAAGAUAAUAUAACUAUAUAGCAGAACCACGACCCUUAGCAGCAGCAAGCAAGGUAUGAGUUAUGCUUUCUCUUCAUGUCAUGUUCAAAAGAUGGACCUAGUCUUCAUUUUAUCUGCUACCUUGUGUGGUUAGCUUGCCUCUAGGAUGAUUGCAUUUUUGGGAUGCUAAGAUAUGUAUUCACAUAUUUCUUGUUGCAAUCGAUUUUUCAUGAGUCAUGACAUUUGAUCUUUAAGUAAAAGAAUUCCUGGUGUAACUUGAAUUAAGAUUUUAGAAGUACAGGCUUACAGAGUGAUUAUUUGACCUGAAUACCAAUUCCUAGCUCCCAUGCUUAAUAAGGAUUCAUACAGCCGACCUCAACUAGCUUGAGGUUGAGGUGUUGUUUUUGUUAUGUAGCUUCUUACAAUUUAGUUACUUGUCAUAUUCUUCCACUGGAACGAGGAAUUUUUUAUAUCUGUUCCCCUCCUUGAGAUACAAUUAUCACUUAGUACUGCUUGGCAUCUUUCAAAGAACUGGUCAUGCUACUUGUUCCAAUUUCCAAAAUGCUUCAACAGUCAUAUGAUACCCAUAUGUAUCUACUCCUCCAUAUGAAACUGCAGGAGAAGUCCCAUUUCGAUUGCUGCAGCAGUUAUCUACAUAGUCACCCAGCUUUCGGAUGAGAAGAAGCCAGUAAAAGAUGUGUCACUUGCAACUGGAGUUGCUGAAGGUACGAUCCGGAAUUCAUUCAAGGAUCUAUACCCACAUCUCU